GACGAACGCUGGCGGCGUGCUUAACACAUGCAAGUCGAGCGGUAAGGCCCUUCGGGGUACACGAGCGGCGAACGGGUGAGUAACACGUGAGCAAUCUGCCCUCCACAUCGGGAUAACCCCCGGAAACGGGAGCUAAUACCGGAUACGACCACUUCAGGCAUCUGAUGGUGGUGGAAAGUUCCGGCGGUGGAGGAUGAGCUCGCGGCCUAUCAGCUUGUUGGUGGGGUAACGGCCCACCAAGGCUUCGACGGGUAGCCGGCCUGAGAGGGUGACCGGCCACACUGGGACUGAGACACGGCCCAGACUCCUACGGGAGGCAGCAGUGGGGAAUAUUGCACAAUGGGCGCAAGCCUGAUGCAGCAACGCCGCGUGAGGGACGACGGCCUUCGGGUUGUAAACCUCUUUUAGCAGGGAAGAAGCGAAAGUGACGGUACCUGCAGAAAAAGCACCGGCUAACUACGUGCCAGCAGCCGCAGUAAAAC
rnacentral:rRNA from 1 species